rnacentral:rRNA from 1 species
UGGGGAAUAUUGGACAAUGGGCGCAAGCCUGAUCCAGCCAUGCCGCGUGUGUGAAGAAGGCCUUAUGGUUGUAAAGCACUUUAAGCGAGGAGGAGGCUACUGAAGUUAAUACCUUCAGAUAGUGGACGUUACUCGCAGAAUAAGCACCGGCUAACUCUGUGCCAGCAGCCGCGGUAAUACAGAGGGUGCAAGCGUUAAUCGGAUUUACUGGGCGUAAAGCGCGCGUAGGCGGCUAAUUAAGUCAAAUGUGAAAUCCCCGAGCUUAACUUGGGAAUUGCAUUCGAUACUGGUUAGCUAGAGUGUGGGAGAGGAUGGUAGAAUUCCAGGUGUAGCGGUGAAAUGCGUAGAGAUCUGGAGGAAUACCGAUGGCGAAGGCAGCCAUCUGGCCUAACACUGACGCUGAGGUGCGAAAGCAUGGGGAGCAAACAGG